rnacentral:pre_miRNA from 1 species
AUGUGAACCACCUGAGGGUCUUGUUAGAAUGCAGGUUCUGAUUCAGUAGGACUGGGGUGGGCCCAAGAUUCUGUAGUUCUGAUAAGCUCCCAGGUGAUGCCCAU